rnacentral:rRNA from 1 species
UACAGAGGGGGCAAGCGUUGUUCGGAAUUACUGGGCGUAAAGGGCGCGUAGGCGGCCCGCUAAGUCGAACGUGAAAUCCCCGAGCUCAACUCGGGAACUGCGUCCGAUACUGGCGGGCUUGAAUCCGGGAGAGGGAUGCGGAAUUCCAGGUGUAGCGGUGAAAUGCGUAGAUAUCUGGAGGAACACCGGUGGCGAAGGCGGCAUCCUGGACCGGCAUUGACGCUGAGGCGCGGAAGCUAGGGGAGCAAACGGG